CUUCACGUGCUCCAUAGUGACUACAGGAGUCCAGGACACAACAGCUCUUGGCCGUUGGAAAGAAUAUUCAGAGGCUAGCGGCUAACCAAGAAUCCGGUUGCCUGGCAAUACAUCUUAGGUCAUUGUUCUCUUUUGGUGAGCCUGUUCCAUUAGAACAAGAAGUUUCAGCUCAGCCCUUUGCUGGCCAUUGGUCUACAGUCAUGCGGUCAAGGAGAGCUCAAGGAGAGUGGGCAUUGAAGCUUCUACUCUCUAACUGGAAGAAAUGUCUAUCUGUGACUACUGGAUCUGCCUUCAGAGACUUAGAAGGGACAUCAAGCCAAGCAGAAAAUACAAAUUUUUGUUUCACAGAAAGCUUAAAGAGUUAGGGAAAAGACAGGAAGAUAAUGGAGAAAAUGGAGAAGGGUAUUAGCAUUCAUUGAACUCUUGCUCUGUGGCUCAUUUUGUACCUAAAACAGAGAAGAAAGCUUUGCUGUGCCAGAGGCCCUAAAUUCCUCUCAUCUACAGUAAAUUUCCAGGACCUUUGCUGAUGCUGACCCUCCCAUUCCUUCCUGUCCUUCAAGGUGUGGUUCAAGUCACACCUCUGCUGUGAUCUGAAAGCCCUCAGUGCUCUCUGGCAGGACUGAAUUUUCCAAAGUGGGAUAGAAAUCACAUGAAAGAUAUCAACUUACAUCUGUUCGAAAUUCUCCAUCCUUUCCUGCUGUUUAAGGAGAAA
ensembl:lncRNA